rnacentral:pre_miRNA from 1 species
UCCCGGCCGGAGCUCUUUUCACAUUGUGCUACUGUCUGCGCCCGUCACUAGCAGUGCAAUGUAAUAAGGGGCUUCGGCGGGGCA